rnacentral:misc_RNA from 1 species
UCCCGGUUAACCCGGGCAGUCUCAUUAGAGUUCCCACCUUUACGUGUUGGCAACUAAUGAUAAGGGUUGCGCUCGUUGCGGGACUUAACCCAACACCUCACGGCACGAGCUGACGACAGCCAUGCAGCACCUGUGCAGCGGCUCCGAAGAGAAGCCACAUUUCUGUGGCGGUCCACUGCAUGUCAAGUCUGGGUAAGGUUCUUCGCGUUGCAUCGAAUUAAACCACAUGCUCCACUGCUUGUGCGGGUCCCCGUCAAUUCUUUUGAGUUUCACCCUUGCGAGUGUACUCCCCAGGCGGUAUACUUAUCGCGUUAGCUACGACACAAUUGGGGUUGAGUCCAAUUACAUCAAGUAUACAUCGUUUACAGCAAGGACUAC